GGGUUGUGAGAGCAAGAGCCCGGAGAUGGAACCUGAGACAAGGUUCCAGGCCCUACGGGGUGCAGCAGGCGCGAAACCUCCGCAAUGUGAGAAAUCGCGACGGGGGGAUCCCAAGUGCCAUUCUUAACGGGAUGGCUUUUCAUUAGUGUAAAGAGCUUUUGGAAUAAGAGCUGGGCAAGACCGGUGCCAGCCGCCGCGGUAACACCGGCAGCUCUAGUGGUAGCAAUUUUUAUUGGGCCUAAAGCGUCCGUAGCCGGUUUAAUAAGUCUCUGGUGAAAUCCUGUAGCUUAACUGUGGGAAUUGCUGGAGAUACUAUUAGACUUGAGACCGGGAGAGGUUGGAGGUACUCCCAGGGUAGAGGUGAAAUUCUGUAAUCCUGGGAGGACCGCCUGUUGCGAAGGCGUCUAACUGGAACGGUUCUGACGGUGAGGGACGAAAGUUAGGGGCGCGAACCGGAUUAGAUACCCGGGUAGUCCUAACUGUAAACGAUGCGGACUUGGUGUUGGGGUGGCUUUGAGCUGCUCCAGUGCCGAAGGGAAGCUGUUAAGUCCGCCGCCUGGGAAGUACGGUCGCAAGACUGAAACUUAA
rnacentral:rRNA from 1 species